UACAGAACCCGCAAGCGUUAUCCGGAUUUAUUGGGCGUAAAGCGUUCGUAGGCGGUUUGGAAAGUCUGGCAUUAAAUACUGGGGCUCAACUCCAGACGUGUGCUGGAAACUUCCAAACUUGAAGAUGCUAGGGGCUAUCGGAACGCACGGUGUAGGGGUGAAAUCCGUUGAUAUCGUGCGGAACGCCAAAAGCGAAGGCAGAUAGCUAGGGCAAUCUUGACGCUGAGGAACGAAAGCGUGGGGAG
rnacentral:rRNA from 1 species